GUUCUCUUCAGAUUAAUUAAUCUAGCGUUCCAAUUAACUGUCUGUGAUGCGCGGAGAACUUUUCUCGCAUUAUUUCACUCGAUAAAUUCGUGACGAAACGACCAGAUAUUCUAUCUGGCUGCAUUGGAAAUUUUCAUUUUCGUUGCAGUUUAAAUAACUUUUUGAUUCUAUGCAGCAACUAGGCUGUUAUAAGUUAGUUAAUUGUGUCUUUUUCUUUCUUGUUUAAAAAGUUUGAAUAAGCGAGGGGACACGUUUCCCGGACGUAAUUCGCAUUUGCGUAAUUUUGAAUAAAGUUUCGAAAUUUCAAUCGUCAAUGCAUAACGUCAAGUUUUGUAGUAAGCUCGUUCACUUUUUCUUUUUUAAAUGGCAUCGAAGAUCGUUACUUUUAUAUGAAAUCUAUUUAGUAAACGACGAAUAUAUCUAUAUCGUGUCGCACAAAUAAUAUGCAUAUGUGGCAGUAAUUUUGAACAUUGCUAGCGAAAAAAUGCAUUACCUCGAAAGUCUUACGCGUUUUGUUUCGCAAUUGUCAACUGCAAAACUCCGAGUCUCUGCUAUCUACAACCGAACGUUGGAAAAUUUAAUUCGCAAUCAGUUUAUAAUCUUACGCCCUCGGUAAAGUUCAAUCGUUUUCCCUUGAGCCGUGUAAAUUUCUUAAGCAAACACAAGAGUUCGAAGGUAGCCUGAGCAAUACGUCCCGACGAAGUGGUGCGAUUCACGUCGACCGUUCCAAGUGACGUAAUUAAUAAGAAAAGGAAGGAAAUUGCCAUGAGUAAAAUACGUGAAACGCUGUACCAACGAUACAUAUAUAUUUGUAACGUUAUAACUCGCGACCAGUUAGUCGGAUCGUUACUCGCCAAGUUUCGAUAUUUCGAAACGUUUGAUAUAAAUUUAUAAACUUUGCUUAUUCUUUCCACCCUUUCUGCAAAACUUGACAAUUCUCGGAAUAAUAGCGAAAGUUAGCCGUUGCGCUUCGCUUUAAUUCUCUAAGAUAUCUUAUUUCUCAUGGUCUCUUUAAUUUUUGUUUUCUAUUAUCAUUUUAUACUUCUUAUUCGUUUAUGUGCGUCGAUUCAACGUUUCUUUAUAUUCAAUUAAAAAUCAUAUCCGCGAAUCAAAAUAUCACUGGUGUUAUUAUAUCGCGUUUGUUUAUUUUUACCUCUUAUUGUUUUAAAAAUUCAAUUUAAAGAUUCUCAUCGAUAUCCUGCUAUUCUUCGAUUUGCAUUUCAAUUUGCGAUCAUCGGUCACUUUAACUAACGUGCUGGUUUUAGCGUUCGGCAUUUUUAAAUAUGCCAUUAAACUUACGUCGGAAAUAUAACGUCUACUAUACAGAACGAGACACGAUUUAAAAAUCCAUUCUGUCAGGACGCGCCGAUUAAAAACAAUACGGAACCGAACAAAUCGAUCUCCGUUGGUUUUAGUUAACCGUUGAAACGACUCCCGGUGACACGGCAGAUUAGAUUUUAAUAGAAACAUCCGUGCCACGAUAGAACGUACGUUUACAUGGACGUAUUCCUUCUAUUUAAACGACCGCUUUUUUCUCCGUAAUCCCUUCUUCAUGCCCGAACAAUCGUUCGUUCAGAGAGCACCGGUUCAAUUCCAAGGAUUACCUGUUAAUUGAAGCGUGACCGAUUUCGCGCGAUUCAUCACGAUAAAAAUAGGAGCAGCAAGUAUAAAAAUGCAAUUGCAUGGAAAUCCGGUGGUACCUUGCGCAAAUUCUCAUAAUCACGAUUCAUCGUCACCGGAGUUGUUCUCUUAUUGCUCGCAUUCGUCUUGACCUACAGCUAUUACGCGUAAUGCUGUGCGGCUCAAUCAGCAGAGGGACGAUCAGGCUCGAUGGAAGGAACAUUACUUGCUCGUUACAGGCGUAUUUAAUCUCGUCUUUUCCAUUCGACCGUACAUCGAUCGUAUAUUAGCUCGUUUCUCUUUCCUUCGCGCCAAAUCAAUUCUAUAUUAAAGCGACCGAUGAAACGGAUACUUGAAUUUAUAUUACGAUAAGUGCCGUCGCUUCUUCAUUAUCGAAUUGAUAUCGAAUUUAUAUUUCAUUUCAACGUUCCGGUUAUUCUUUACUUUUACUUCGUGUUUGGGAAAAGAGCCCUUUUUAGAUAUCGCGAUCGUUAGUUCUUGCGAUAAAAAUAUUAAAUGACAUUGUUUCUAAUUUCGUAUAUUACGUGGCAAGUACCAGCGAUAAGUUUGUAAACGCGAUGAUCUUUAGAAAACGUCGAGUAUUUCGAUCAAUGGAAAGUCGACGGAUAUUGCAAAGUUUAGUUGUGUGAUUUAUUAAAAAAUUUUGGGAUUUGAUCUCGCGUGAAACGAAAGUACAAAAGCUGUGUUACGUUUUCGUGUUUUCAUGUAUAACGCGAGUAUUUUUGCAUGAAAUACGAGAAGAAGAAAAGGUACAAGUACUUGGAAUCUAAAUCUAAAAGCAGAAUGUAUCGAAGUCUGCUACUUAAGCGCCACGAACAUGGAAGAAAACGAUGAAACGAUGCUGCAAGUAGUACGAGCUUGUCGCGACUGAGACGAAACUAAUCGGAUUGUUGUUAUCUGUGGGUCUGUGAACGUAAAUGGCUUGGCGAAAAAAGAACGCGAUGAAACCAGGUGCACGUACAGAAAUGUGUCCGGGUUAGUGGAUUUUUGGAAAGGUGCCGCGAAAGUUUCCGAAUUAUAAGAUGGAAGAAACUGGAGAAAAGAAAUUUCCUUCGACGUCUCUACGUUGCUGAAGAGAAGGUAAGAAAUUGAGAAUUUUGUAGCGAUAUCGUUGACAUAUUGGACAUAAUUGAGGUUAUGUUUAAUAGAAAAGUAUAUGCUACUAACAAAGUUAUCGUAAUUUUGCGUUCAAUGAUACAUUAUCAAAGGAAUUAAAUUAAGUUUUAAUCGUUAUAAUUUAGUAG